GCACGGCUAGCUCAAUGGGAGAGCUCCCGGCCUACACCCGGAAGACGAGGGUUCGACUCCUUCGCUGUGCACCA
rnacentral:tRNA from 1 species